rnacentral:rRNA from 1 species
GUGGGGAAUAUUGGGCAAUGGGCGAAAGCCUGACCCAGCAACGCCGCGUGAAGGAUGACGGUCUUCGGAUUGUAAACUUCUUUAAUUGGGGAAGAACAAAAUGACCUACCCAAAGAAUAAGUCACGGCUAACUACGUGCCAGCAGCCGCGGUAAUACGUAGGUGACAAGCGUUAUCCGGAUUUACUGGGCGUAAAGGGCGUGUAGGCGGUCUUGCAAGUCAGAAGUGAAAUUCCUGAGCUCAACUCGGGCGCUGCUUCUGAAACUGCAGGACUUGAGUGCUGGAGGGGAUAGCGGAAUUCCUAGUGGAGCGGUAAAAUGCGCAGAUAUUAGGAAGAACACCGGUGGCGAAGGCGGCUAUCUGGACAGUAACUGACGCUGAGGCGCGAAAGCGUGGGGAGCAAACAGGAUUAGAAACCCUUGUAGUCC